rnacentral:lncRNA from 1 species
GCACACGUGCGGGUGGCGCUGGCGUAGGCGCAGACGCACCACAUCGUAGUCCACAUCGUGCCCUAUCUUUUUGCAGUUGAGGCCCCAGGCGAGGUUAUCGUGUGUUGUACGGAGCUCUUUUAAAUUCUUUUCCAUGUGCAAGUUGUGGCGGGUCAGCAGUGCACAACGCUUUUGUUGUCCCAAAUAACUGUUCUCUACAUAAAGCGGUGGAGAGGACAUUCUCAUUUUAAUAGCCACUUGAUCCUUACCGCCUGACAACUCUGCAGCAGGCGUGGGAGAAGGGCUCGAUCAUGUAUAUUCCAGGAAGACUAUGGGUGUUUCAUCUGUGAGACUAGUAGGAAGAUAUCAUCCCUCCUGGCUUUACAGUGUCACUGGUUGGGGGAGGAGUGCCCACAUUCCUAACUUUCAGGUCUAACAUUGAGAUACUUGAUCCAUUUGGAAAUGAUUCAUGUCUAGGAUGAGAGAGAAAGAUAAACAUUCAUUCAUUUGUGAAGGUACCCAGCUUCCCACCAACCAUUUGUUAAAGAUACUGUCUUUCUCCAAUACAUAUUGUUGACACCUUUGUCCAAAGCAGAUGUUCAGGACAUGGAUCAGCUGACAAAGUGCUUGCUAAACAGAUAUGGGAACACGAGUUUGAUCUCAAGAACCUAUUUAGGCGCUGAGCUUAACCUGUGCCACAGUGCUCCAUACCCAUACUGCCUGGAGAGAGCUGGUCUCCCAGAAGUGUGGACAAGCCUGUGAGCACAGGUAAGACCACCACUUCUCCUUCAAGGGACCAGCUCAGAGACCUCAGGACCCAGGAACUGAGGAGCAGUUUGGGACAGGAUCCUUCCAGUUUCUGUCUGAGCUGGGGAACUGACCCUGUACCACAGCUCUCCAUACCAAAAUACUCCCAGGAGAGAGCUGGUCUCCCAGGAUUGCUGACAUACCUGUGAGCACAGGUAAGACCAACACUUCUGCUCAAAUCCCUGGCCUAAGAAGGACCACCCCAGAGCCAUCAGGACACAGGAACCAAGGAACCCAGUUUCCAUCUGCAUCCCAGACCUGACACUAUGCCACAGCUCUCCAUACCCAAACUCCUGGAAAGAACUGGUUUCCUAGGGGUACUGACACACAAAUUUGCAGGAGGGACAAACCACAGUAAGAGACAGCAAGACCAGCUAACACCAGAGAUAACCAGAUGUCGAGAGGCAAAAGCAAGAGCAUAAGCAACAGAAACCAAGGCUACAUCAUCAGAACCCAAAUCUUCCAUCAGAGUGAGCCCCAACACACCAGAAAAGCAAGAUUCUGAUUUAAAAUCACAUCUCAUGAUGAUGAUAGAGGACUUUAAGAAGGACACAAAUAAUUCCCUUAAAGAAAUACAGGAGUACACAGGUAAGCAGGAAGAAGCCCUUAAAGAGGAAACACAAAAAUCCCUUGAAGAAUUACAGAGAAACACAAACAUUGAAGGAAUUGAACAAAACCAUCCAGGAUCUUUUGUUUGUUUGUUUGUUUUUCAUUUGUUUGUUUUUGUUUUUGUUUUUUUUUUUUUGAGAUAGGGUUUCUCUGUGUAGCCCUGGCUUUUCUGUACUCUAUAGACCAGGCUGGCCUUGAACUCAGAAAUCCACCUGCCUCUGCCUCCCAGUGCUGGGAUUAUAUGUGCCACCACUGCCUGGCAACCAUCUAGGAUCUAAAAAUGGAAAUAGAAACAAUAAAGAAAUCACAAAAGGAGACAACACUGGAGUUAGAAAACCUAGGAAAGAGAUCAGGAGUCAUAGAUGCAAGCAUCACUAACAGAAUACAAGGGAUACAAGAGAGAAUCUCAGGUGCAGAAGAUACCAUAGAAAUCCUUGACACAACAGUCAAAGAAAAUGCAAAAAGCAAAAAGCUCCCAACCCAAAACAUCCAGGAAAACUAGGACACAACAAGAAGAGCAAACCUAAGGAUAAUACAUAUAGAAGAGAGUGAAGAUUCCUAACUUAAAGGGCCAGUAAAUAUCUUCAACAAAACAAUAGAAAAAACUUCCCUAACCUAAAGAAAGAGAUGCCAUCAACACACAAGAAGCCUAUGGAACUCUAAAUAGAUUGGACCAGAAAAGAAAUUCCUCCGUCACAUAAUAGUCAAAACACCAAAUGC